AGAGUUCCUCCUGUUCCUCUUUAAUGUGUGGGGGCUUUGUGUCCUCCUGGUCCAGACUGGAGCUCCACUCCUGCUGAUGUUCUUCACCAACAAUCACUUUCUGGACAUCUGAAGAUGGUCCCAAGACCUGGAUGUAAGGAUUACGUCAUUUGACAACUUUGGGAAAAAGUUCUUAAAGGCCUACAAGUUAAGCCCUGAUGCUUUCGUACAGAUGGCGAUACAACUGGCCUACUACAGAACUCCGAGAAGGUUGAUUUAUUGGAGAAAGCUAUAAAUGCACACAAAUGGUACACUAACUUGGUACACCGCAAGGCUGGAUUUCAGAUAUGUUUUGGCGCUCAAGAACCAGGAAUGAACGAAAUCGUCUACGGUAUCAUGAACGAUCACAUUGAUUUCACGGUGGCCAAUUUUAAAUCAUCCAAUACCGGCAAAGAAAAUGGAACACAUAUGACCAACCCACUGCAGGAUGCACUGUUGGACAUGAGGGCCCUGCUGGAACAAACUACAAGAGCUGAAGCUAAUCAAGACUUAAACCAAUAGUGCGACAUUUUGGGAAAAUGUGUUUGUUGCAGAGAGUAUAAAAAAAAUCUAUUAAUAUUCUUGAGUACCAUCUGGAACGAAUCACUGUUGUAGACUUUCAUCACAA